CUAUACAUGACUCUGUGCAUAUCAAUAAGCGGAGGAAAAGAAACUAACAAGGAUUCCCUCAGUAACGGCGAGUGAAGCGGAGAAGAGCUCAAAUUUGAAAUCUUGAAAGGUCACCUUUCACGAAUUGUAGUUUAAAGAAGUGUUUUCUGUUACGAUCGUAAUAUAAGUUCUUUGGAAUAGGACAUCACAGAGGGUGAGAAUCCCGUCUAUGAUUGCGAUUUGUAGCUUUGUGAUACACUUUCAAAGAGUCGGGUUGUUUGGGAAUGCAGCCCAAAACGGGAGGUAAAUUUCUUCUAAGGCUAAAUAUUGGCGAGAGACCGAUAGCGAACAAGUACCGUGAGGGAAAGAUGAAAAGAACUUUGAAAAGAGAGUUAAACUAGUACGUGAAAUUGUCAAAAGGGAAGCGUUUGACACCAGUGUUGUUUUCUCGAAAAUCAAUUAAAAAUGGCUCGAUUUUGUAUUGUUGAGACCUUAAAAGCUCACUGUACAUUUUUCGUGUCUUUUUUAAUGCACUUUUCGUUUAACAAGUCAACAUCAGUUUCUUUUGUUGUAAAAGGGUCAUUGGAAGGUGGCUUUCUUUUCGGAGAAAGUGUUUAUAGCCUUUGGCCUCUGCAAUCGGAGAGACUGAGGUCUGCAGCGUAGACUCUUCGGGGUUAGAUACAUUUGUGCUAAGUUAUAGCUUUUUAUAGACAACUUGUUGACUAUAAUUAGUCUUGUAGCUUACUCGCUUAUGCUAUUUUACCUACGCUUAGGAUGUUGAGUCGUAGAGCACGCAG
rnacentral:rRNA from 1 species